rnacentral:rRNA from 1 species
UACGUAGGUGACCAGCGUUGUCCGGAUUUACUGGGCGUAAAGAGCGCGCAGGCGGUCGUUCAAGUCGAGUGUGAAAGCCCCCGGCUCAACUGGGGAGGGUCAUUCGAUACUGAUCGACUGGAAGGCAGGAGAGGGAAGCGGAAUUCCCGGUGUAGUGGUGAAAUGCGUAGAUAUCGGGAGGAACACCAGUGGCGAAGGCGGCUUCCUGGCCUGUUCUUGACGCUGAGUGAGCGAAAGCCCAGGGG